CUUUGCUCAGGCAUGAUGCACGCAGAAGCCCAUCCAGGUCUACUUUUGCCAACAGUGGAAUGGCUCUCUCUGUGUGUUUGAGAGAUGUUAGGACACCUGUCUUGGCUGGUGUUCUUGUAGUGACCCUUUUUUGUUAUGUGUUGAGAGCUUAUUUGAUACCAAACAUGUCUCUCUGUUUCACCCCUGAUACCUUGACUGCCGUCAUCAUGAUUAUUGUAAUUAUCUUGUUUGUUUGUUACAAACAUACAAGCAAGAAAGUAAAGGAUUUGAACUCAACAAAUGCACAGCUUGAAAAGGACUUAAAGAAGAAUAAGGGCAGGUUCACUGCAUUGAUGGAGCAGAAGGCCGAACUGGAGACCCAAAGAGAUGAAUAUAUUCUCCAACUAGAGGAUGUGGAAAGAGAGAAGGAGAAGAACAAGGAGCAGCUUCAAUUGUUGGAGGAAAAAAUGACAAAGAGUGAGACAGAAAAGACAGUUGGCAAACUACAUGGAUUGUUAAUAGAAAAAGAACGUCUCUUAGAGUCUAAAUGGAAACUGGAUCAGAUGAAAACAGAACAGGAGAAAGUCAUACUGCAAACAGACAAACUACUGCAAACAAUAGAUACUGUAAAUAUACCAAUGACUACACGCAAAAACAGUCUUAAUGUCUAAGAUUGUUGUUGGGUAUCAGCAUGCAGGGCCGUUGUUAUAAUACAUGGUUAUAACAACCAAAGAGCUAUGACAAGCACCAUGAAGAAAACACUGAAUUUGUAAAAAGUAUUUUAUGUAUGUACAAAAUACAGAUAGAUAAUUGUAUAAAAGCUUCCUAAAAUAUCAUGAAACUCAUCUCUGAUCAAUAUUCACAGGAAAUAACCUGCUUAAAAUGCAUCCAAAUCACUUGUUUUACACAAAUGUCCUGCAGUUAGUCUUCACUGUUUGUUUUAAUGGUACAGUUUAUCAGCUGAUCAUUGCUGUUAUUCUUCUGCAUUUAUUAUAAUAUCAAAUAUCUAUAAAAUAUGUCAUUUAGCCAGGGGUUUAGUCAAAAGGGGACUUAUACUAUAAGUAAAGCAGAAAAGUUUAGUCACUAACUAGUCACUAAUCAUUUAUGUCUGAAUAGUGGAUGUGCAAGUGCAUGCAGAAAUGUACAGUUCAAUGAAGAGUAAAACAUUUAUAACUGUGAUUAUAAACCACAUAGUAAUGACUAUUUACAGCAGAAUCAUGCUUUAUAAAUGAUGAAUUCAGUAUUUACUAAUCCAUAACUAAUGUGCUUAUCAAUGAUGAAUAAAACAUUUUUAACUGUGUUUAUAAACUACAUACUAAUGUGUAUUCUUGCGUUAUAAAUGAUGAAUUCAGUAUUUAUUCAUGCUUAACUAAUGCUUAAUAGUGUCUACUCAUUAUAAAGUGUUACCAAGUUUAUUUACAUUUAUUGUCACGGGUUAAAAGCUGUAUGUGAGGUUCACUGUAAAGUAGCACUUUAUUUUUGUGAUAUAUAAUAAUAAUUUUGAAACAAAUUGGAGCAUGAGUAUCACAAUGCUGCCUCAGGAGACUGGUGAAUGAUAAAGUACCCACUAGUGUUUCCUUCCUGUGAAAAAAAAAAAAAAUAUGUAAAGUGCCCUUUAAGGUACUAAUCCUAACA